rnacentral:lncRNA from 1 species
AGUAGGUUAGUAGCAUGGGUAAGACCUGAAGAUGGAAAAAACAAAAUACAUGCUGCUGAUUCCUUCUUGCAAUUUAAAGGAAAAAAAUCUCUUUUAAAAGACUUAGGUCUUCUGACAAACGAGAUGCAUUAAGAACAUCAUCAUAGUCUGUUCCCUUUUUGCUGUCUUGGCAAGCUAAUGUCACAGUGAUAGGUUACCUUCUUUCACUGCUGAGAAGAAAUGAGGGAUGCUUCUUGUAUCAACAGGUUGCCAUGGAGAAAGGGGAUAAGCAAAGGGAGCGGAAAAGGAAGAAAAGGAGAAAAGGCAAUAAAGAGGACAAAAAUGGAAGCUAAGCCAAAUGGCAGAGCCCUGACAGCAAAGCCAGGAGUUCUCAGUGCCACAGAUUAUGUGAGGAACUGCUAAAGAAGCAAUUCCGCAAAGUGAGUGAGGGCCCAUGGGCCACUGCAUGACCUGCAUGGAAGGUAUGGAUUAUUUGACUUUUGCUGUCUGUCUCUUCCUGUGGUCUCUACACUACUUAUUGUCACCAGCCUAGGUAAGGAGAGCUUGAGCACCCCGGGGCCUGGCUUUUGUAGCAGGGCCACUUCAAGGUCUGCGACCAGAGGCAUCAGCGCCUGCUGGUCCAGGCAGGGCUCCUGCGUACCUGGAACUGCACAGAGAGGGGCUGACACCGAAGAGCAAACCGCUCCUACAGAC